GAUGAAGAACGCAGCGAAAUGUGAUAAGUAAUGUGAAUUGCAGAAUUCAGUGAAUCAUCGAAUCUUUGAACGCACAUUGCGCCCGCCAGUAUUCUGGCGGGCAUGCCUGUCUGAGCGUCAUUUCAACCCUCAUGCCCCUAGGGCGUGGUGUUGGGGAUCGGCCAAAGCCCGCGAGGGACGGCCGGCCCCUAAAUCUAGUGGCGGACCCGUCGUGGCCUCCUCUGCGAAGUAGUGAUAUUCCGCAUCGGAGAGCGACGAGCCCCUGCCGUUAAACCCCCAACUUUCCAAGGUUGACCUCAGAUCAGGAAGGAAUACCCGCUGAACUUAAGCAUAUCAAUAAGCGGAGGA
rnacentral:misc_RNA from 1 species